rnacentral:lncRNA from 1 species
CUCUGUCUUACUUUCUCUUUCCCAAAUGUUUUUGUUAUUUUCUUAUUUUUAGUUUUAUCUUUGUUACCUCUUUAAUCAUAAAUGCUCUUUCAUAAUCAACUUUUUAAUUUCCCUCUCUAUGCUUCGUGUUAGACUUAAUCACAUCAUUGCUUUUGUUACCCAAAAUGGCGGCAUACAGAAGUGGUUUUCACCUGCACUUGUAACUGGCGUUUGAGUAUUGUUGGCACACUCACCGGAAGAAUGUUCCCCUCCCCUGCCCCAAACCUCACAUCUUCAUCCUGAUUAGAUUGAGUUUCAGUUCUGCCAAGGACCACCCUGAAUUUAUUUUUUCUUGAAAGAUGGUUAGAAAGACACUUUUUCUUUGUCUGAAACUGUGUUUAUUAUUGAGCAAUAAUUUGGUUUGAUAUGGGAUUUGAUCUUAAAAAGUACCUUCCUUUGAAAUUGAUAUGACACUCCAUUGCCUUUAAGAACGAAAGUGGUCAAGGCUGGUCUACUUCUGAGGCUUUUGAAGGGAACCCGCUCUUCAUUUCUUCCUGGGCAGCUCUUGAGAGCAUCCUUCUAUCACUGCGUUCCAUGGUAGCUCAUCCAUUCUGGUUGUGUUGCUCCGUGUACCCUUCUGCAUGAAAAGUCAUCCUUCUUCAGCUUGUAACAGUGCAGCUUUUAUUUGAAAUAAAAGUUUAUCCUCCGUG